UCCCUUGGCUCCUCCUUGUUCUCUCUCCGGCGUCUCCGCUACAGUCUCCUCCCCAGAUUGAGAGCAAUGUACAAAUCUUCUCCAGUUCUGUUCUUUCGACAGUCGUUAGUAACGCAGUGUUGUUGCCUCUAACUACCCAUAACAACAUCUCUUUCAAAUCCGGCUUAAUUUGAAUUUCCCGAGUCGAGGGUUCUUCAGGGAUCGAAUCAUUCAAGUGGGUUAGUUGGAGAAAUUCGAAAUUGGGUCCGACUGGUGUUUCCUGUAGAAGACGGUGUGUGUAUGUGUGUGUGUGUGUAGAAACUUGGAGUUAUAAUGGAGACUUGAGUGAUCACAAUAUCAGAGCUUUCAUUGGCGGCCAAGCUCACACUCUUAUUUUCGCCGACUGCAGGAUCAUCAUCAUGUUGGUUGAAGCAAUGUGCGAUGGCUUUCUUCAUGGGUUUGUACAUCGGUUAUGUGCUGCAUGCAUUGCAAUUCUGUUAAUUCCCGUCCUGACAUGUUGAAGUCAUUAUAUUCUCCUCUUCAGCAUUUACCAACAAUCUGAUCAUGGAAGCACACCUCAGGUUUCGUGCACCAAUACUCCUCAGGUUGAUCUCGCAAAUCUUUUAGCUGCUCGAGAUCAAGAGCUUAGGACACUUUCAGCUGAGAUGAAUCAACUUCAAUCUGAGCUAUGGCUUGCUCGUUCAUUGAUAGACGAGAGAGAUGCAGAUGGGUGCAGCGUGUCAGCAGUACCAGUAUUGUAGGGAAUAUCUUUACACUUAUUGAAGAUUCUAAGUUUGUUUGUGGUUGAAGAAAACGAAAGGCUGAGAGCAAUUUUGAGUGAAUGAAGCAUGCAGGUAGAAAAUCUUGAGAGAAGUGGUGCAACUACCGAGAGAAGUUGCAGGCCGCUGUAGAAAAUAGAUGCCUUACACAUCUGAGCGCCGAGUUCGCCAACCAGAGGAAUCUCUAAUGCCGAAUCAAUCCAAUGCCGGCGGAGCUAUUACUCAAGUUUUGGUGUCAAUCUCGAGGAGAGUAAUGCAAAAAGAAAUUCUAUUGACGAUGCUCCACAACAUGACAUUGCCAUUGUCGGUGGUGGAAU